rnacentral:rRNA from 1 species
GCAUAUCAUAGCGGAGGAAAAGAAACCCAACAGGGAUUGCCCCAGUAACGGCGAAGUGAAGCGGCAAUAGCUCAAAUUUGAAAUCUGGCCCUUUCAGGGUCCGAGUUGUAAUUUGUAGAGGGUGCUUUGGCGUUGGCUGUGGUCUAAGUUCCUUGGAACAGGACGUCGCAGAGGGUGAGAAUCCCGUAUGUGGCCGCCAGUCUUCGCCGUGUAAAGCCCCUUCGACGAGUCGAGUUGUUUGGGAAUGCAGCUCUAAAUGGGAGGUAAAUUUCUUCUAAAGCUAAAUAUUGGCCAGAGACCGAUAGCGCACAAGUAGAGUGAUCGAAAGAUGAAAAGCACUUUGGAAAGAGAGUCAAAAAGCACGUGAAAUUGUUGAAAGGGAAGCGCUUGCAGCCAGACUUGCCUGUAGUUGCUCAUCCGGGCUUUUGCCCGGUGCACUCUUCUAUGGGCAGGCCAGCAUCAGUCCCGGCGGUUGGAUAAAUGCCUGUUGAAUGUACCACUCUUCGGGGUGGACUUAUAGCCUCGGGCGGCAUACAACCAGCUGGGAUUGAGGUCCGCGCAUCUGCUAGGAUGCUGGCGUAAUGGCUGUAAGCGGCCCGUCUUGAAACACGGACCAAGGAGUCUAACAUCUAUGCGAGUGUUUGGGUGUCAAGCCCGAGCGCGUAAUGAAAGUGAACGGAGGUGGGAACCCCUCGGGGUGCACCAUCGACCGAUCCUGAUGUCUUCGGAUGGAUUUGAGUAAGAGCAUAGCUGUUGGGGACCCGAAAGAUGGUGAACUAUGCCUGAAUAGGGUGAAGCCAGAGGAAACUCUGGUGGAGGCUCGCAGCGGUUCUGACGUGCAAAUCGAUCGUCAAAUUUGGGCAUAGGGGCGAAAGACUAAUCGAACCAUCUAGUAGCUGGUUCCUGCCGA